GAAGAGGUUUUGUCUGUGCAGGGGCAGGAAGAGCCCAUCAGGCGGUUACACCUGGAGGCCCAGCCCUGAGCCUCCCGCCUUCUCCAGCGUCUGCAGAAGCUGACCCAGAGCCUCUGCUUCGGGAUUCCUGGGCUGUGGUCAGGGUGGGUCUGGGGACUCCCGUGCUGCGGGGCUCCUGGUCUGCUCCCCAGAGGCUGUGGGCAGAGGCUGAGACCUCUGAAGAAAUCCUAGGGAUUUUCAGGAAACCAGUGCAUGUUUUCUCUUCUCUAACCAUGCACAGGGGACACAGAAAGCCCCAAAGAUCGGGGCCACUGCAAUUCGUUUUCCAGAGAAGGACGCUCCGAGUUUGCACUCUGACCGCACUGAUGGGGCUCUGUUCCUCCGGUGUCCAUGGCUCCCAGCAAAGCAGACCAGCACCGCCCCCACGCACACCUAGGCCCAGCCCAGCCCCAACACCGGCUGCCGAGCUCACCAUGAUGAGGGCUAAUGGCUCUGGGCAUCGGCCUGCAAGCAUUUACUGAGCACCUACUGUAUGCUCAGUGCCCACAGGCCGAGAGGCAACGAAGACAAAGUCUCUGUCCUUAGUUCAGGGAAGCCACUCCCAGGCAGGGUUCUAGGAAAGAAAGAGCCCCGGGCUGCAUCUGCACUUCUCUGAGCUCCAACAGGAUGUGGUUGCAUCAUCUCCUGGAGGAACGGAUUUGCCUUGAAACGCAGGAGGCAGAGCGGGCCUGGGAGAAGGAGGUUGUUUCCACGCCUUCCUGGGGGAGAGGCUGGUGCAGCCGUGAGAGUCAACCGGGAGCUCGGAGGAGGAGCAGACAGGACGUGGGAGAGCUCGGGAGAGACCCAGGCUGGGCGUCUUGCAGCUCAGACCCUUGGCCACCCAAGCAGCGUAGCCGGCAUCACAGCCCACGGCGUGAGGCCACCAAGACAGACAGAGGAGGUGAAGGGGACCCGGACUGGGCCAGCCACACGUGGAGGUCGUGGAGGAAGCAGGCAUCUAUGCGGAAUCUCGGCCGCCCAGUCUGCCUUGUCCACAGAGAGGUGCCUGUCCGCUGCUUCGAGCGUGUGCCGACGUCUCCCGAAUGUGUCCGCUUUCUCUUCUUCCUUGGGAUUUCCUAACGUCUGACAAUCCCAGCUUGCGUUGGCCCCCUGUGCUGUGGCCCCACGACGUUUUGUCCAGCUUGAUCAGAGCAGAAAGGGGACCUGGUGGGCAGCCCAAGGGGCAGGAAACUUCCGGGUGGAUUCCAGCACAGCCCCAGCCCUGCCGGGGUCUUCAUGCCAAACCCCUGGUCGGCCAGGCUUGAAACUGGGCUGUGGAGCCACAGUCCUGGCCUACAGGCUACAACUGAAAACACCAGUCAUAUUACCAAGGCUGUGACCGAAAUCGUGUCUCUGAGAAUGUGCCUCAAGCGUUCCAAGCCUGGCCGGCCGCGCUGGCUCACGCCUAUCAUCCCAGCACUUUGGGAGGCCGAGGAGUUCAUCAAACCAUCCAAUGCCAUAACCACAGACAUUUCACCUGCAAACCAGGCGGAGAAGCUGGCGUUUUCACACUGUAGCCAGGGCUUCCAGUUCAUCGGGACCAGAUUCUGUAUCAGAGAUGCCCUCCCUCUUACCGUCUACCUGCUCAUGCCACAGGAUCAUGGUCAUUUAGUUGAUUCAAACUGGUGAUCUUAAGCCUAGAUGUACACCUCCUAACUGAACAAUGCUGGACCGGCUCUUUGAGAUGAUAGCAAAGACUAUGAAACAAAUACAACUGAAAUUAAUAAUGGACUCC